ensembl:snoRNA
CACACACACAAAAAAAAAGUAGGACAGGAACAGGAUCCUGUGCCACUGGGUGUGAUGUGACUCUGCCCCUCAAAGUGAAUCUGGAGAUUCUACAACA